rnacentral:rRNA from 1 species
UACGUAGGGUGCAAGCGUUUAUCCGGAAUUAUUGGGCGUAAAGAGCUUGUAGGCGGUUUGUCGCGUCUGCCGUGAAAAUCCGAGGCUCAACCUCGGACUUGCGGUGGGUACGGGCAGACUAGAGUGUGGUAGGGGAGACUGGAAUUCCUGGUGUAGCGGUGAAAUGCGCAGAUAUCAGGAGGAACACCGAUGGCGAAGGCAGGUCUCUGGGCCACUACUGACGCUGAGAAGCGAAAGCAUGGGGAGCGAACAGG